CGGUGUAAAAACGAUCUUCAUGGCCAUAUGUGCAUUUACGUGCAAAAUUUGAAGGAGAUUGGUUCGUAAUGAGACUUUUGGUACACCUGAAUGCAUUUAAACUUUUUGGAAUUUUCUAAGAGCCAUAACUCCCGAACCGGAUGUUGCGCGUACAAACGGUUUUCACGCCUGUGUGUACAAAUCAUCUGGCUACAGAAUGUCAUAAAACAAGAGAAAAAAGGGUUUGGGAGUGCGCGAAAGUCAAAUAUUUCGUGCAUGUACACGAUUUUGGUACCAUGUACCGGGCCACUUCCCUUAAAGCAGCUGAGCCACAUUCCUCGGAACCGCUGUUGAAAUUCACAAAUUUCGUGCUCGUGGAUUCGGUAAUCCAGCGUCCGACGAAAUUAAGCACCAACAACAACGGCGGAUGCAUUGUUUCGCAAAAAACUACCCAUCACUGAACGAUCGGGGAAACGCCACAAAUUCCAAUAUUUUCUGGAGCUCGUCUCUCGAUGCGUCAGUGAAAGGCUAUACAUACCCCUCAGGUGUCAUAUAGUCAUCGGAAUGUCCGGUUAGCGUGAUAUUGAGAGAAAGGUCGUCGAUGGUUAGCGGAUUGGCUGCGGAGAAGGCGUUGCCAACGGCAUGCAGGACAGCGUCGAUAUUCUAAUGGUGAAGAGAAAACGUCGAAGGCAACGGGCUGCGUUUGGGCGUCGAUUGAGUAAUGCACUGCUCAGGCGAUUGGUUGUUCGCGCACGAUGUGUUCUGGCAGCUAAAUUUCAUCAUCACCACCGGCACAUCGGAGAAACGUGAGGUCAACUUCAUACUGCGGCAGAUUUGGCUGUACAUCAGUUUGCCAAAAUGAGAACUGGGAUCAACGAAACCUGGACCGUUAUUAAAGAUGGCAGAUUCAGUCAGCUCAAUGAAGAAAUCGACGACGUUGCCCGUAAGAUCUGGAUUCCAUAUAUGCACAUCUUGAUCUGGAAAACAGCCAGCAUCUUUGCAGUAUCACUUUAACACAGACCGGGUUAUUUUUUACAACGCGCUGCUACAGUUUGCGUUCUAACCCAUUUUCGUCAUAAGUUGUAAUUGAAAGAUUAGCCAAGUAAUUUUAUGUUCAAAAAAGGCGCUUUCG